GAAAUUUUGUGGAAUGCUAAUGACCACCGCAAUCAGCAAGGAGGCAAUCGCCCAGGUUUCUCCCUUCUACGAUUCCCUUCUGAUGUUACUGCUUCUUUGUGGAUUCCUUCAUUUAAUCUGAACAAAAAGGACUCAGAGCUGCUAUGGUCAGUGCCGAGACGGCUCGUGCUGACCAACGGUGUCGCCGCUGCCGUCAUCAUCACCAUCACCGACCUCUUCUCUCAGGUGGGGUUCCUGUACCUUCUCACUCGAGACAUAAGAAAUGUGUUUAUAAAUAUAGCGCCGAGGCGGCUCAUGCUAACCAACGGCGUCGCCGCCGCCGCCAUCACCACCGUGACUGACCUCUCCUCUCAGGUGGGGUUCAUGUACCUUCUUACUCGGUCGGCAGUAAAAAUCCAUAUUAUUUUACUCUCCCUGUUCUUGCCUGGAAUCGCAGCUUGGUUUGUGAUAUGAAGCUUUAUCUCUGUUAAUUUGUCUCAGUGGCAUAAGAUGUGUAUUUAUCUCAUGUUCAAUUAUGCUAGGGGCCUUUGAUCUGUCAGUAACCUGAGUCAUGGCCUAUAUUUUAUUGCCACACAUCAAAUCGCACUGGGAAUUUAUCUGCAAAUUUGUUUUGCUAUAUUGAUGUCAUGAGAUAGGUACUGCCAUUAAGUACUUGGCGUUUAUUUCUUUUGUUGAUGAGGGAUAAAAUAUGCGUUAUUUCUUUUGUUGAUGGGGGAUAAUUGAUGUCAUAAGAUUAGUUGAUGAUCUUCAAUACAAUAAUUGCUUCAGUAUAAGACUACUGUCUUCUUUGCCUUGAGCAGAAUUCCUUUGACUAUCCUGUUCAGGUGAUGUGAGAGCGUUUUGAUUCGUAGAGUAUCUUCAUUGCUCUUCCAGAAGUUAUACUUCUGCUCAACAAAAGAGUUUGGUAAGAUUUGAACGGUUGGUUGUACAGAACAUGCCAGUUGAUUGACGGGAUGUACCCAGUUUGGAGCCCAUAUAACUUGUGUAUUUCUUAUUUGCAAUUAAUCCCAACAUUUAAAGGUGGUGUUGAAAUGGUCAUGUUUGGCGUUUGAGGUUAUAAAUUAGUGGCGUUGUAUUAUGCUUUCAUGCUGCUAUUGACAAAUCAAAUUGAUGUAUGUUAUUUCAAAACUUUGAAUAUAAAAUCGCAUUGU
rnacentral:lncRNA from 1 species